UACGUAGGGACCAAGCGUUGUUCGGAUUUACUGGGCGUAAAGGGCGCGUAGGCGGCAUGACAAGUCACUUGUGAAAUCUCUGGGCUUAACCCAGAACGGCCAAGUGAUACUGUCGCGCUAGAGUGCAGAAGGGGCAAUCGGAAUUCUCGGUGUAGCGGUGAAAUGCGUAGAUAUCGAGAGGAACACCAGAGGUGAAGACGGGUUGCUGGCUGACACUGACGCUGAGGCGCGAAAGCCAGGGGAGCAAACGGG
rnacentral:rRNA from 1 species